rnacentral:lncRNA from 1 species
UCAUCUUCCGGUGGCUACUACCCUGCGCAGCCCGGAGGGUCUUACGGGUCGGAUUUUGGUGCUGGCAUAUUCGGAUGGGCCCCUUAUCAAGACACCUCUCAGAGCCAGAGCUUCAGCGAGAGAUCCGAGAGUUCUUAUGAUCCGACGCGCAUUCCUCGAGGAUUGAGCAUACAAGACUACAAUGCCGCUUGGUUAGAGGGAUGGGUUGAUCUGCCUCCAUAUUAUGCUGAUGAUCCAGAUAUUGACGAGAAGCAUCGCCACUCGACCCGAUUUUAGAUAUCCGAGAGUGCUUUAAAUGUAUGUAAUUGAUUGUAUCUUAAUUUGAAAAUAUUUUAUGUUCUUCAUCUCAUUAUUUGAAUCAUUUGGAAGUAAUAAGUUGCAUCAUCUACUUUUAACCUUAAACC